rnacentral:lncRNA from 1 species
UUCCCGCCAGCGGCGAGCUGUUGAGAGCCGACUGUUUCCAUCGCCAGUUCAGUCGCUCGUCUCCACAGCAAGGCAGAGUGGCCGCGUCAUUUUUAAUAUGUAUCACUGACUUGUAGCAUUCCGCUACCAGUACCAAUACCCACCGCUUACACACAGCGGCCUUUGGAUGACGUGAUGACCACGUGACGUCAUUAUCUCUUAUGACAACUGUCUAAUUGGCGCGAGACUGUGUGUGACCACCUGUCGCGUGGCUGUCUUCAGAAGAUAAGCACUGCCGGAUUACAGUCGGAUCAUGGACGUGUAGACAUGGGAUUCCUCGAUAAGUGCCGAAACCUGUGCAGUUGCCUUCGAUGCGAAGCCCCAACCAGACAAAAAGUGGUCCCGGAUUCCGAGGCAGAUGGUGAUCGCGGUCACGAGGCCACGUGUCGGGAACUGCAAAGGCAGGCAGAAUGCAUCGUGGCAGAAGCAAUAAAGAGGGCCUCCGACAUCAUUGCAAAAGAACGGGAUGGAGAGCAGGGAGCGGCAACGACCCAGCUUUAACAUAGCUAGUCGUGGGGAAGUACUAUCAACACAUAUGAUAUCAUUUAUUUCACGGAUCUUACGUGAGCGGCAUGAAACCAUCACUCUCUACUUCAACCUGCAGUGCCAAGGAUUCUGGAACCACGAUCUCAUGAGAAAUCAGCCGUUGCGUAAAUGGCGAAUACGGUCCUCACUCCAGUCUUAAAUCAUUCCACGACAAAGAGAUUUAUGACGAAGACAGAAAGGUUCUUCGGGGGCUAGAAAGUAAUUCGAAUAAAACCCUCUAGGAACCAUUAUAGUUUCUUUAUAGUUUGAGAAAACCAUCACAUGGCCGUUGGUUUCAUCAAAAACACAGAAGGAUACCUGGGUGACUGACAUGUCAAUUUGAAAGACACGAUAUUUGAGCCUAAAGAGAUUUAUGUAUGGAAAUGAUUGUAUGUUGAAUAUGUGAAAAACUCAAAUGGAGAUUCGUGAUGGAAGGUGUUCAAAUUUAGAGUGACUUUGGAUAGAAGUAUGUGGUUCUUAGAAGAAUUACGUUUAGAAUUCGUGAGAUUAACGUUAGACCAUACGGAAAUGUGAAUACUGUCAUCGUGGCACUCCUGAUUUAAAGGUAAAUUACUGACAAAGUUCCGUUUGUGUGAGGAUUACUUGAAGACGGGAGUUAAAAAAAUAUGCGACCUGAAUCAGAAAAGAAAACCUGAUAAAAAAUUAUAGUAAUUGUUAAGAUCCUGAGAAUUAUUUUCAGAACAAGAUUCUGUUAAAAAAGAACAGUUGUGAAAGAACAAGACGUCUUUGACAAAUGUUGGAGUCAACCCUGCAAUAACGAUGCCAGUGUUCUGUUCAUUUGGUGUAAGAAGUAUGUUGUGCAAGUCCCAUAUGUCCGUGGCAGUGCAAUGUCACAUUAUCACAGCUCCCCAUGCUUCUUCACCAUCACGUCAGUGGACCAAUCGUCACCAGAAGGAAACUAAUGCUUCUACACCGCCACGUCAGUGGACCAAUCGUCACCAGAAGGAAACUAAUGCUUCUACACCGUCACGUCAGUGGACCAAUCGUCACCAGAAGGAAACUAAUGCUUCUACACCGCCACGUCAGUGGACCAAUCGUCACCAGAAGGAAACUAAUGCUUCUACACCGUCACGUCAGUGGACCAAUCGUCACCAGAAGGAAACUAAUGCUUCUACACCGCCACGUCAGUGGACCAAUCGUCACCAGAAGGAAACUAAUGCUUCUACACCGCCACGUCAGUGGACCAAUCGUCACCAGAAGGAAACUAAUGCUUCUACACCGUCACGUCAGUGGACCAAUCGUCACCAGAAGGAAACUCGUGCUUCGUUACCAUUAGUUUACAUAUCAAUGCAUUUGUACACCAUGAUGUAUUUUGUCAUAUCACAUUUGUUUAUUAUAAUGUGCAUGAUACGUACUAUAUUAUCACGAUCCACUUAGAGUAAGCUAUCGAUCGAUACUCAAAGACUGGAAGACCUAAAGUGACAUGUGACCUUAAUACGCCACAAUGGAAUUCCAUUUCUACACGACACCAGUGUUAUAACUACCAGAUAAGACAUAUUGGGAGACACCCAGUGACACUUAUAUAGCACAAUUAUGCCAGUCUCGUGGGGAUAAGCGCAUUUGUAAUGAACGUUCGAUAGCUUUCUCUAAUGAUCAGCCCGUUUCUACCAGAUCUCGUUCAUAUUAUUCCCAAGAGGUGGUAUUUAAUUGAUUAAACUUACUGUGAAGUCUGCGGUACUGCGCAUUAAUACUGGCAUCGAUAAGAAUAAGGACGUCAUACUUCGUCAAUAAUAUCAACCCUAUAUUUGUGGACAAUUGCGUGUUUAGUCGUGUUUCUAAAAACAGCCCUAAUCUUCUCAGGCAAUAGGGUUGUUACACAAAACCAUUACCAUUCCACUGUAUUAGCGGAAAGCACCGUAUCGUAUGGCUGUGAUUGUUUCCUUAUAUUCUAAAUAUAACGACUUUGCAAUAUCUUGUUUCCCGUUACCGAGUUUCAUUUCACAUUGGAUUAUCUGCCAUCAAAACCAAUGUAUUCAUUAUUUCUUAUGUAAAAUGACAUGGUAUUCUAACGUUCAGUGAUUAAGAUCGACUUAAUGUUUCCUUGACGGUAAUGGGCAGAAUGGAAAGGAUUUAGUAUUGUUAAGGGGGCUGUGGGGUAGCCUAGUGGUUAAAGCGUUCGCUCGUCACACCGAAGAUCCGGGUUCGAUUCGCCACAUAGGUACAAUGUGUGGAGCCCAUUUCUGUUGUCCCCCGCCUUGAUAAUUGCUGGAAUAUUGCUAAAGGCGGCGUAAACCCGUGCUCACUCAUGGCAUUUACUAAAAAAAUAACUUUUGUUUUAAUGGCUGUUAAAUUCCCAUAUCAGUGUCAGUGUAUUUUAUAUAUUAAUUCUAACAGGAAGGUUCAGAAUUAAAACGAAUCGAUAUUUUAUUAAUUAUAACUCACAGUGAAACUAAUAUUUUAUUUAAAUACUGGUUAUUUAUUAAAUAAAUCGGUUCAGGAAAAAGUUAUUCAGCAUCCAUUGAAAGAGACAUAUUUCUUCAACUGUCAGAACACUACAUUCACAGUCAAUUUCAGUUAUCUUAUGUCCAUGGUUUCCAGAACAGGCCACUGCAGAGGUAUGGACUUUUUACAUAUUAGUGCCGGGCAGAACAUUCCGGGAACAAAUCGAAAGCUCGACUUAUUUUGUAUUUAUAAUUUCUCUACGCCUUAUUAGAAUGAACUAUAUAAUUUUAACAUAUUUUCAAAACAGACAUGUGUCAAUAAUGCUAUGCUAUGUAAUUGCUAAUGAUGUUAUAUACAUUGUAAACCAUGUUAUAUACAUUGUAAACCAUGUUAUAUACAAGUGUCAAUCGUGCUACAUACAUGUUUCAGUCAUGUUAAAUACAAGUGGCAAUCAUGUUAUUUAAAAGUUUAAACAUGUUAAUAACACGAGUCAAUCGGGCUAUAUGCAUGUGUCAAUCGUGUUAUAUACACGUGUACAUCAUGUUUGAUGUGAAUGUGAGCGUGUUUGUUGGUGUGUGUUAUAUACAAUCAGCUACCCCAUGUCUGGCACAUGACCCUUUAGAUACACAUAUUUUUAUUAUGCGUUGAUUAUACACUUGCUAUUUUUGUAAUGCCCUUCAUGCCCUUUUACAGUGAAACCUCGUUAGUCCGGGCUAUUGUUUCAAUGCCAGUCGUCCAGAUUUAUGCGAUUCUGGAUUAACGAAAUAUAACAUGUUCAACUGUACAGCAAACAUAGGUGGGUGAGCAUUAAGAUGGGAAAUACUAUCAUCCGGAAAAUCAAGAUCGAGAGAAUAUAAUGAUGACUCACGGGAUCCGGAACAAAUGAGAUUCCCAAACAAGAACAACCAUAAUAAUAACAAAAAGUGAGAUCCGGAAAAGCGAAUUCCGGAGUUAUAAGAGUCGUUAUCGUGGGGCUAGGAAUUGUGAGAUCCAGACUAGCGAGAUCCGGAAGCAUAAGAACCGUUAUAGUGAGAUCCAGAAUUGUGAGAUCAAGGCAAAUCUGGAAAGACAGAUUCGGUCAACACCAUCCUGAGUACAGUGUUUCAGGUUAACAUGAUCCGGACAAACGAGGUUCUGCUGAUUGUCCUAUUUGUAAUGGAAGGCUGAUAAUCUGCGGCAGGGCAAAACUCUUGGUCAGAAGACUCUUUGUAAUUAGAGAACAGAAACUUUCUUUUCUUCUACGUAAUUAAAAGUCUGGCUCAGGAGAUCUAUUGGGUCACAUUUCACUUCCAAAGAAAUGUGUCUGAGAAACCCAUGGCGAUUCAUGUCUUCAAGACAAAGUCCCUAGAGUAGAGUAUGUUCUACUCCAAACAAUGCCAUGAAUCUAUUACAUUCUCCCAUCACAGGGUCAGCUGCUUCCGACAAUGCUGUACAACACGAAAACACCAGACAUGUCGUUAAAUGGUCAACCAGAAAACAUUUGAUAAUAUCUUGUUCUUUUUGGGAUUGUUUCUUAAUCUCCAUCAGCUUAGAAACAUUCACGACUGCGUGCUUAUGUCAUUGUUGAAUUUAAUUACCACAACAAUUCAGAUACGACUUCUAUAGGAUUAAUUAAUAAAUCGUGAUCACAAGUAUGGCCAAAAGGUGAUUCUCUAGUAAGUCUUAGUUGUUAAAACUAAUAUCAAUUGCUUUCGCUUUACAUACGCCUUAGAGCGAAACAAGAAAAGGUAAAAUCGAUUUUAAUGGAUCGAUUUGCAUUGUAAUACGCAUCCUUCUCGGAUGAUAUAUUUUCAGAGAAAUGCCACGGUUUGCCAGGAAAAAAACUUCAAAGUGUUUUAUGCAAGUAAACCUUUUUGACUCAUCUUGAACAUUAUGUAUAGGAACAUUUCUUUGUACUGGAUUAUGGAAUUGACUUUUAAGGUUCUCCCUCGGAGAUGUGCUUUCAUCUAAUGUAUUAGACUCACAGUAUACGUUUUACAAUUUAAGCUAUAUUAUACACCAUUCAAAAAAUCUACACGGUAUGGUCAAUGCUAUUAUACAUAAUAAUUCCAUCUGCUUUUUUAUACUCCAUCUCUCACUGAUAUAUAUAUUUUAUAUGUGUGUUUCGGGGGAAUCUUUGUAUUUUUCUAUAAGUUUCAGUGAUAUUGGACCAAAAACAAAACCAGAUUCACAUGGUUAGCGGUUUAGCACUUGUAUCAACUGGAUAUUAUGCAACUUAUCAGCAACAUGACAAAGAGAAGUGUAAACCGGAUAGCGCAAUAUAUAUCAUUGAUAUUGAUAAUAAAUGUUUGUGUUCAUUAGAAUAAGAUAAUGCCAUAUUGUCAAACUUACGAAUUCAAAGUCUUUGUUGGUAAUGUGAAUGAUGAAUAGCAAGUACAAGAUUGAUAGUGUCCUUUACGAAUCAAGUCGCCUUCAAGAGGGGUAAUUGAGAACAAUCUUAAGAAACUAAAUCAAAGUCCCCUAAAAUAUUUGAUGAAGAUUCCGAGAAUAACAGAUGGGUAAAUGUCACAAUCCUUCAUUGAGAACAACUUUGAUCAAAGUUCUUCUUUAAGUCUUUAAUUGAAUUGUUAAACCCAAAAAGGUAAUUGUCAAAGUCUUCCUUAAAAAAAUGUCUGUGAGCACAACAGUAACGUGAGUGUCAAAGUUUUCUUUGAGAGUCUAGUUUUUGACGAAGGCAUUGAGCACUGCAAUAAGAUAACUGCAAACGUUUUCUUAAAUAAUCAAGUAUUUCGUGAAGUCUUGAAGAAGAACAGUAAUGUAAAUGGCAAAUGUCUCCUUUAAGAAUCAAGCCUUGGUGAAAGUAUUGGGUACAACAUUAAGAUAACCUCCAAAGUUCUCCUUUAAGAAUCAGGCCUUGGUGAAGUCAUUGGGCAUAACGGUAAGAUAACUGCCAAAGUUCUCCUUUAACAAUCACACCUCGGUGAAGUCAUUGAGCAUAGCGGUAAGAUAACUGCCAAAGUUCUCGUUAAGAAUCACACCUCGGUGAAGUCAUUGAGCAUACCGGUAAGAUAACUGCCAAAGUUCUCCUUUAACAAUCACACAUCGUUAAAGUCAUUGAGCAUAUCGGUAAGAUAACUGCCAAAGUUCUCCUUUAAGAAUCAAACCUUGGUGAAGCCAUUGAGCACAACGGUACGAUAACGUGGAAUGUUCUCCUUUUUGAAUCAAGCCUUGGUGAAGUCAUUGAUCCGAACAUUAAGAUAAAUGUCCUCCUUCCAUGUAUCCAAUUCCACUGCCACUCCUACCGAUACCCUCAUUUCAACGCUCAAAGUGGUUGUAUGCGUAUUUAUAUUUUUGUGGAAUCGUUUUGAUAACAAUAAAGCUAUUUGAAUCACU